rnacentral:rRNA from 1 species
CUACGGGUUGCACCAGUGGGGAAUAUUGCACAAUGGGCGCAAGCCUGAUGCAGCCAUGCCGCGUGUAUGAAGAAGGCCUUCGGGUUGUAAAGUACUUUCAGCGGGGAGGAAGGGAGUAAAGUUAAUACCCUUGCUCAUUGACGUUACCCGCAGAAGAAGCACCGGCUAACUCCGUGCCAGCAGCCGCGGUAAUACGGAGGGUGCAAGCGUUAAUCGGAAUUACUGGGCGUAAAGCGCACGCAGACGGUUUGUUAAGUCAGAUGUGAAAUCCCCGGGCUCAACCUGGGAACUGCAUCUGAUACUGGCAAGCUUGAGUAUCGUAGAGGGGGGUAGAAUUCCAGGUGUAGCGGUGAAAUGCGUAGAGAUCUGGAGGAAUACCGGUGGCGAAGGCGGCCCCCUGGACGAAGACUGACGCUCAGGUGCGAAAGCGUGGGGAGCAAACAGGAUUAGAUACCCCUGUAGUC